UUUGACGGAGAGUUUGAUCCUGGCUCAGGACGAACGCUGGCGGCGUGCUUAACACAUGCAAGUCGAACGAUGAUGCCCAGCUUGCUGGGCGGAUUAGUGGCGAACGGGUGAGUAAUACGUGAGUAACCUGCCCUUGACUCUGGGAUAAGCCUGGGAAACUGGGUCUAAUACUGGAUACUACGUCCCAUCGCAUGGUGGGGGGUGGAAAGGGUUUUACUGGUUUUGGAUGGGCUCACGGCCUAUCAGCUUGUUGGUGGGGUAAUGGCUCACCAAGGCGACGACGGGUAGCCGGCCUGAGAGGGUGACCGGCCACACUGGGACUGAGACACGGCCCAGACUCCUACGGGAGGCAGCAGUGGGGAAUAUUGCACAAUGGGCGGAAGCCUGAUGCAGCGACGCCGCGUGAGGGAUGACGGCCUUCGGGUUGUAAACCUCUUUCAGUAGGGAAGAAGCGAGAGUGACGGUACCUGCAGAAGAAGCGCCGGCUAACUACGUGCCAGCAGCCGCGGUAAUACGUAGGGCGCAAGCGUUGUCCGGAAUUAUUGGGCGUAAAGAGCUCGUAGGCGGUUUGUCGCGUCUGCUGUGAAAGCCCGGGGCUCAACCCCGGGUCUGCAGUGGGUACGGGCAGACUAGAGUGCAGUAGGGGAGACUGGAAUUCCUGGUGUAGCGGUGAAAUGCGCAGAUAUCAGGAGGAACACCGAUGGCGAAGGCAGGUCUCUGGGCUGUUACUGACGCUGAGGAGCGAAAGCAUGGGGAGCGAACAGGAUUAGAUACCCUGGUAGUCCAUGCCGUAAACGUUGGGCACUAGGUGUGGGGGACAUUCCACGUUUUCCGCGCCGUAGCUAACGCAUUAAGUGCCCCGCCUGGGGAGUACGGCCGCAAGGCUAAAACUCAAAGGAAUUGACGGGGGCCCGCACAAGCGGCGGAGCAUGCGGAUUAAUUCGAUGCAACGCGAAGAACCUUACCAAGGCUUGACAUUCACCGGAUCGCCCCAGAGAUGGGGUUUCCCUUCGGGGUCGGUGGACAGGUGGUGCAUGGUUGUCGUCAGCUCGUGUCGUGAGAUGUUGGGUUAAGUCCCGCAACGAGCGCAACCCUCGUUCUAUGUUGCCAGCACGUGAUGGUGGGGACUCAUAGGAGACUGCCGGGGUCAACUCGGAGGAAGGUGGGGAUGACGUCAAAUCAUCAUGCCCCUUAUGUCUUGGGCUUCACGCAUGCUACAAUGGCCGGUACAAAGGGUUGCGAUACUGUGAGGUGGAGCUAAUCCCAAAAAGCCGGUCUCAGUUCGGAUUGAGGUCUGCAACUCGACCUCAUGAAGUCGGAGUCGCUAGUAAUCGCAGAUCAGCAACGCUGCGGUGAAUACGUUCCCGGGCCUUGUACACACCGCCCGUCAAGUCACGAAAGUUGGUAACACCCGAAGCCGGUGGCCUAACCCCUUGUGGGAGGGAGCCGUCGAAGGUGGGACUGGCGAUUGGGACUAAGUCGUAACAAGGUAGCCGUACCGGAAGGUGCGGCUGGAUCACCUCCUUUCUAAGGAG
rnacentral:rRNA from 1 species